AUUGAACGCUGGCGGCAGGCCUAACACAUGCAAGUCGAACGGUAGCACAGAGAGCUUGCUCUCGGGUGACGAGUGGCGGACGGGUGAGUAACGUCUGGGAAACUGCCCGAUGGAGGGGGAUAACUACUGGAAACGGUAGCUAAUACCGCAUAACGUCGCAAGACCAAAGUGGGGGACCUUCGGGCCUCACACCAUCGGAUGUGCCCAGAUGGGAUUAGCUAGCAGGUGGGGUAAUGGCUCACCUAGGCGACGAUCCCUAGCUGGUCUGAGAGGAUGACCGGCCACACUGGAACUGAGACACGGUCCAGACUCCUACGGGAGGCAGCAGUGGGGAAUAUUGCACAAUGGGCGCAAGCCUGAUGCAGCCAUGCCGCGUGUAUGAAGAAGGCCUUCGGGUUGUAAAGUACUUUCAGCGGGGAGGAAGGCGGUGAAGUUAAUAGCUUCACCGAUUGACGUUACCCGCAGAAUAAGCACCGGCUAACUACGUGCCAGCAGCCGCCGUAA
rnacentral:rRNA from 1 species